ACGUAGGAGACAAACGUUAUCCGGAGUUACUGGGCGUAAAGGGCGUGCAGGCGGUCUGUUAAGUCCGGCGUGAAAGCUCCCGGCUAAACCGGGAGAGGUCGUUGGAGACUGGCAGGCUAGAGGACGGUAGAGGCGUGUGGAAUUCCGGGUGUAGUGGUGAAAUGCGUAGAGAUCCGGAGGAACACCAGUGGCGAAGGCGACACGCUGGGCCGUACCUGACGCUAAGACGCGACAGCAUGGGGAGCGAACGGGA
rnacentral:rRNA from 1 species